AUUGAACGCUGGCGGCAGGCUUAACACACGCAAGUCGAGCGGGGUGAUGGUGCUUGCACUAUCACUUAGCGGCGGACGGGUGAGUAAUGCUUAGGACUCUGCCUAUUAGUGGGGGACAACAUCUCCAAAGGGAUGCUAAUACCGCAUACGUCCUACGGGAGAAAGCAGGGGAUCACUUGUGACCUUGCGCUAAUAGAUGAGCCUCAGUCGGAUUAGCUAGUUGGUGGGGUAAAGGCCUACCAAGGCGACGAUCUGUAGCGGGUCUGAGAGGAUGAUCCGCCACACUGGGACUGAGACACGGCCCAGACUCCUACGGGAGGCAGCAGUUGGGAAUAUUGGACAAUGGGGGGAACCCUGAUCCAGCCAUGCCGCGUGUGUGAAGAAGGCCUUAUGGUUGUAAAGCACUUUAAGCGAGGAGGAGGCUCUUUUGGUUAAUACCCAAGAUGAGUGGACGUUACUCGCAGAAUAAGCACCGGCUAACUCUGUGCCAGCCGCCGCCGUAA
rnacentral:rRNA from 1 species